GGGCGCAAGCCUGAUGGAGCAACACCGCGUGAGUGAAGAAGGGUUUCGGCUCGUAAAGCUCUGUUGUUGGAGAAGAACGUGCGUGAGAGUAACUGUUCACGCAGUGACGGUAUCCAACCAGAAAGUCACGGCUAACUACGUGCCAGCAGCCGCGGUAAUACGUAGGUGGCAAGCGUUAUCCGGAUUUAUUGGGCGUAAAGCGAGCGCAGGCGGUUGCUUAGGUCUGAUGUGAAAGCCUUCGGCUUAACCGAAGAAGUGCAUCGGAAACCGGGCGACUUGAGUGCAGAAGAGGACAGUGGAACUCCAUGUGUAGCGGUGGAAUGCGUAGAUAUAUGGAAGAACAUCAGUGGCGAAGGCGGCUGUCUAGUCUGCAACUGACGCUGAGGCUCGAAAGCAUGGGUAGCGAACAGGAUUAGAUACCCUGGUAGUCCAUGCCGUAAACGAUGAGUGCUAGGUGUUGGAGGGUUUCCGCCCUUCAGUGCCGGAGCUAACGCAUUAAGCACUCCGCCUGGGGAGUACGACCGCAAGGUUGAAACUCAAUGGAAUUGACGGGGGCCCGCACAAGCGGUGGAGCAUGUGGUUUAAUUCGAAGCUACGCGAAGAACCUUACCAGGUCUUGACAUCUUGCGCUAACCUAAGAGAUUAGGCGUUCCCUACGGGGACGCAAUGACAGGUGGUGCAUGG
rnacentral:rRNA from 2 species